CUUCGGUCUUUUCAGGGGAAAGUAAUGCACCUGUAGUGUUGACUUGAUCUUUUUACAGCCUGCCACCAGAUGGAGAUAUUUUCCCAAACAAGUCCACCCAGUUUCUUAAGGAAAGCCCAAGGGACUUUAAUAGUAGAACAAAUGAACAGAAAUGAGCAGCCUCCCAGGCUGGAGAUCCUGAAGUGAAUGCAUUGAAGUUUAGAUACAUAACAGGUACAUAGCAGGAGCUGAAUCCAAUUAAUUCAACAGUCUCAAUUCAUUUGAGUUUUGGUUGAUAGCAAGUGGCAUUUGUUGCUCUCUUCACGUCUCGCAAGUGAAAAUCAUUAAUGCUAUCGUAAUAGGCUGACACUUCUGGCAACACCACUGCACCAGCAGCGCAGGGACCUUCUCCUGACCCACUUGACAGAAAUCCCAGAAGGGCCAGCCCCUUCGUGUUGGGUAAUUAAUUAGCUUGCUGGAUGGUCCCUCCAAUUAAUGUAUGAUUGAGUUGUCUUGGCAGGGUAAGACGUGUCUGUUUGUGGUCGGCAUUGUAGACCGUUUUCCUGACUAAAGAAACCACUUGUAUGAUUUGUGAGUGUUGGAAUUGGGCAGGGUUCUCAGGAGCUGCUGAAAGUAUCAGCCCCUUGAGCAUAUUUUAAGCGAACCACGCUGAUGCAAUCCAAGAUCAUUAAUCAAAAAUAUAUGUAAAGCGUAUUUUUAAAAAUAGGUGGCUAAUAUUGCUUUGUCUUCCAGAGUCCUGCAGUUUCUCACUUCCCUGCUUUGUGGGUCAGAUGCUUUGCAGCCAAUUUACAUCAAUUCCUGGCACUGUUUUUAAAGGAAGCAAGGGGGAACAGUGAGAAGUCUCACUUUCUGCCAACAACAGGAAGUGCAUGCUCUUUGAGUCAGACAGCUUGUUUCAGCGAUGCCUUUUGUUGAACCAACAAGUUACUGGACGGCGCAUUCAAUCUGAGGUGUAGUGCUGCUUGACAAAUCCCUGGAAAGGCAACAUCAGAGGCGUGGGGGGUCAGGCGGAAGGCAGCACGCCAUUGCAAUGCUCCUUUUUUGAAGGCAGCAUUCACUUUAAAGACCAGUCAUCCGAGGGAAGAGAGAGGAAAUGGUAACAACACCUCUCUCGUGAUCUGUCCUGUGGGUCUGAAUGUGCAGUGACUGAACUCUUGCUAGGGGUGACCACUGGAGGUUAGCACCU
rnacentral:lncRNA from 1 species